rnacentral:tRNA from 1 species
AGGUAUAGCUCAAUGGUAGAGCACUUAUCUGGCAUGCGGGAGGCCCUGGGUUCAAUCCCCAGCAUUU